CUUUGUUAGAAUCUAUGGAUUGGUCAUUUGUGCUACAAAAAGAGUAACAGUGUUAUCAUCUUCAACUGUUGCUAGGAGCACACAAAUCAUGUAUUCAGUUGUCAUGGUGAUAUUUAUUUUUUUUUUUUUUUUUUUUUUUUUCUCUGCUGCAGCUCAUUGAUUUGUUGUUAUAAAGAGUAUUUUUGUGGCUUUUGUGUUAAACGGCAGUAAUUACAAUGGCAAGACCCUCAGGAACAGAACGAAUCGGACUGCCUGAAGAGGACAAUCAGGAUUUUCUCACCGUGGUAUGCUGAAGCGUCAAGGGGGGUGAUUAUCCAUUCCAGAUGAACACACACAUACACCCGCAUGUGGCGACACAGAUGCCCUACCACGAGCAGGCAUUGUCACCAUGAUCUGCCAGCCACCUUUGGCUCAGAGGAUGCCAGAAGAGCAAAUGUUAUGGUGUUUCAUGCCACUCCAGUUCCACAGGGGACAUUAAUCAUGGGGCACCCAAGGUGGACAGGAAGUGUGACUUUGCAAAAGGUGGGUUUGGGAAACAAAACAGAUGCAUCAAACACGCAAGACUAAACAUGCAUGAUGCAUAUCUUCUUAAAAUAACCAAGACCAGCACAGACUCAACCAAAACAAAAAAUAAAUACAUAAAAAAAGAUCUCUGAUAUAGAGAA
ensembl:lncRNA